GCGUGGGUGAUGAAGAUCCCCGGAUCGUAAAACCCUGUCAGGUGGGAUGAAAUACCAUUCGGUUAAUACCCGAGUGGCUUGACAGUACCACCAGAGGAGCACCGGCUAACUCCGUGCCAGCAGCCGCGGUAAUACGGAGGGUGCAAGCGUUAAUCGGAAUUACUGGGCGUAAAGCGUGCGUAGGCGGUUAGUUAAGUCAGAUGUGAAAGCCCCGGGCUUAACCUGGGAACUGCAUUUGAUACUGGCUGACUAGAGUUUAAUAGAGGAGAGUGGAAUUUCAGGUGUAGCGGUGAAAUGCGUAGAGAUCUGAAGGAACACCAGUGGCGAAGGCGACUCUCUGGAUUAAAACUGACGCUGAGGUACGAAAGCGUGGGUAGCAAACAGGAUUAGAUACCCUGGUAGUCCACGCCGUAAACGAUGUCAACUAGCCGUUGGGCCUUUUAACAGGCUUAGUGGCGCAGCUAACGCAUUAAGUUGACCGCCUGGGGAGUACGGCCGCAAGGUUA
rnacentral:rRNA from 1 species